rnacentral:lncRNA from 1 species
GAUGCUCCGAAUUAAAAAAAAAAAAAACUCCAGAUGCUCCGGGAAGAUGCAACCAGAUCCAAAAGAUGCUCCAGAUCCGGUUGAAGAUGUUCGAUAUUGAAGAUGAUGUUUUUCAGAUGACGGUUCAAUGUUGAAGAUAAUCCAAAAGAUGUUGAAGAUAUCUCCAACAUUUUUUGUAAUUUUCAGAUUCACAAUUUUUGUGUUCCAGAUCUAAAAGGUCCUCUAGAUUUGCAAUUUUUUGUGUUCCAGAUCUAAAAGGUCCUCUUGAUAUAAUCAUGAAACAAAGUGAGUUUUGUUGUUACAAAAAAAUAACAAGGUGGGUUUUGUAUAAUAAAGAUAGAGUAAAUUUUGUUAAAUGAAACAAAUGUGUUAGUUUACACAGGUCAAAGGGAUUCGUGUGAGUGUAACAAUUGGGUCAUAAUAAUGUAAUAUUUUUAUUUAACAGAAAGUAACAUGGUCUUUGAUUAUGUUACACUUUUUUUGUGUAACAUCUUUAUGUAACCCAACAUAGCUGGGUUUUAGUAAUGUAACAAUUCUAAUAUGUUUUGUUAGUUACAUAUUUAAAAAUUCUAAAAAAACAUAAAUAGAUAAUAUAUAUAACACCUUUUAUGCUUUUUAUUAUUGAUUUUAUAAAAAUUUUUGUGUAAAAGUUUGUUUCAGAUCUAAACAAAUCGAAACAAUUUGAUUUAAGUUCUUAUUUAUUGAAUUAAAAUCAAAGUUACUUUCUUGUUUAUUGUUAUUAAUUGUAGUUUUUCUCUUGAUAAAUUUGUUGAUUUUUGUUGAGUGACGUGAAGCAUGGUGUGGUUCAUAUGACGGUUCGAUGUUUUAGAUCUGAAGCAUUUAGUUCUUGUUUUCUGGAUAUGUUGUUUUUUAUUACUGAUUUUUUUUAUUUUUUUUGUGUAAAAUUUGUUUUCAAAUAUGAAACAAUUUGAUUUAAGUUCUUAUGUAUUGGAUUCUUGUUAAUGAAGUUAUAUUUU